GUCGUGUAUAGGUAGAAGUCAGACCGUAAGGACUGGUGGACGGUACACGAGUGAGAAUGCCGGUAUGAGUAACGAAAAGACAAGUGAGAAUCUUGUCCGCCGUAAGCCUAAGGGUUCCUGAGGAAGGUUCGUCCGCUCAGGGUAAGUCGGGACCUAAGGCGAGGCCGAAAGGCGUAGUCGAAGGACAACAGGUUGAGAUUCCUGUACCACCGUAAGCCGUUACGAGCAAUGGGGUGACGCAGAAGGAUAGUGACGCGGGCUGAUGGAUGCCCGUCCAAGCAGUGAGGCUGAUGUGUAGGCAAAUCCGCACAUCGAAAGGCUGGGCUGUGAUGGGGAGCGAAAAUUGCAGUAGCGAAGGUCAUGAGUUCAGGCUGCCAAGAAAAGCCUCUAGCCAGGCGAAGGUGCCCGUACCGCAAACCGACACAGGUAGGCGAGCAGAGUAUGCUAAGGCGCUCGGAAGAACUCUCGUUAAGGAACUCGGCAAAAUGACCCCGUAACUUCGGGAGAAGGGGUGCCUCGGUAGG
rnacentral:rRNA from 1 species